rnacentral:rRNA from 1 species
UUGACCUCGGAUCAGGUAGGAGUUACCCGCUGAACUUAAGCAUAUCAAUAAGCGGAGGAAAAGAAACCAACCGGGAUUGCCUCAGUAACGGCGAGUGAAGCGGCAAGAGCUCAAAUUUGAAAUCUGGCCCCCUCGGGGUCCGAGUUGUAAUUUGCAGAGGAUGCUUCGGGUGCGGUCCCCAUCUAAGUGCCC